AGUUUGAUCCUGGCUCAGAAUCAACGCUGGCGGCGUGCCUCAGACAUGCAAGUCGAACGCGAAAGUUCCCUUCGGGGAACAAGUAGAGUGGCGCACGGGUGAGUAACACGUAGGUAAUCUACCUUCGGGUGUGGAAUAACAACCGGAAACGGUUGCUAAUACCGCAUAAUGCAGCGGCACCUAAUGGUGACAGUUGUUAAAGCGGGGGAUCGAAAGACCUCGCGCCUGAAGAGGAGCCUGCGGCGGAUUAGCUAGUUGGUGAGGUAAUGGCCCACCAAGGCGACAAUCCGUAGCCGGCCUGAGAGGGCGGUCGGCCACACUGACACUGACACACGGGUCAGACUCCUACGGGAGGCAGCAGUCGGGAAUUUUGGGCAAUGGGCGAAAGCCUGACCCAGCAACGCCGCGUGAAGGAUGAAAUCCCUCGGGAUGUAAACUUCGCAAGAACGGGAAGAAUAAGCUCGAGCUAAUAACUCAGGCGAUGACGGUACCGUUUGUAAGCUCCGGCUAACUCCGUGCCAGCAGCCGCGGUAAUACGGGGGGAGCAAGCGUUGUUCGGAUUUACUGGGCGUAAAGGGCGCGUAGGCGGCCACCGCAAGUCAAUUGUGAAAUCUCCGGGCUUAACUCGGAAAGGUCAACUGAUACUGCGGGGCUAGAGUGCGGAAGGGGCAACUGGAAUUCUCGGUGUAGCGGUGAAAUGCGUAGAUAUCGAGAGGAACACCUGCGGCGAAGGCGGGUUGCUGGGCCGACACUGACGCUGAGGCGCGAAAGCUAGGGGAGCGAACGGGAUUAGAUACCCCGGUAGUCCUAGCCUUAAACGAUGAAUGCUUGGUGUCUGGGGUUUUAUAGUCCCCGGGUGCCGUCGCU
rnacentral:rRNA from 1 species